rnacentral:rRNA from 1 species
GGGUCAGUAGGUUGGUCGUGCCACCGGUACGUACUGGUCUCACUGAUUCCUCCUUCCUGAAGAACCGUAAUGCCAUUAAUUUGGUGUUGCGGGGAAACAGGACUGUUACUUUGAAAAAAUUAGCGUGUUUAAAGCAAGCUAACGCUUGAAUACAUUAGCAUGGAAUAAUGAAAUAGGACGAUCGAUCCUAUUUUGUUGGUUUCUAGGAUUGACGUA